AGAGUUUGAUCCUGGCUCAGAACGAACGCUGGCGGCAGGCCUAAUACAUGCAAGUCGAGCGCCCAGCAAUGGGAGCGGCGGACGGGUGAGUAACACGUGGGAAUAUGCCCCGAGGUACGGGACAACUCAGGGAAACUUGAGCUAAUACCGUAUGAUCCGGCAACGGCAAAGAUUUAUCGCCUUGGGAUUAGCCCGCGUCCGAUUAGCUAGUUGGUGAGGUAACGGCCCACCAAGGCACCGAUCGGUAGCUGGUUUGAGAGAACGACCAGCCACACUGGGACUGAGACACGGCCCAGACUCCUACGGGAGGCAGCAGUAGGGAAUCUUGGACAAUGGGGGAAACCCUGAUCCAGCCAUGCCGCGUGAGUGAUGAAGGCCUUCGGGUUGUAAAACUCUUUCGACGGGGACGAUAAUGACGGUACCCGUAGAAGAAGCUCCGGCUAACUUCGUGCCAGCAGCCGCGGUAAU
rnacentral:rRNA from 1 species